UCUAAAUUGGUUUUAAAUCAAAUCAACCUUGAAAAAUCGAGGUAAUUGACAAAAAGCAGCGAGUCUAAAGUAUUGUACAAACAGAAAGUACAGGUGACUCUCUUGUGGACAAAGAGGGAGGAAGAAUGAAGCUGUCGUGAGAUGCAGAAAAGAAGGCGAGACCGAGAAGGAUUGUAAGAAUGAGAGGUCGAGAGAAGGGUUACCUUUAGACAAAGAGGUGUCGCGUACAAAACAGUUAAUGAGUCUACGGCUGGGUGGUCCGGCCCGGGGCUUCGUCUUAAUAACGUCGAGGCGAGAGUGAACAUGGAGGUUGUGCAGAGGAUGUUAAGAGUUUUGAGGUUAUAUCGUGAUCACUUAUUGGCAUUGGAUUAUGAGAACUUUUUAUCGAUGAAGACGUCCAGCUUGAUUGUUGUGCAAAUUAACGGUCGACUGAAUAUCACCAGCCUUUUCUCUUGAAUCUAGAAAUUGCCUCGAGAAUUCCAUCCCGUAUUCUAGAUUAUGAGAACAACCUCCCCAUUUCCAGUGUGCUCCGCGUGCUUUUGCUGGUGGUUUACCCUUGUAACUAGACGGAUCGCAACCGCAGGAAAUCAAACGACCCAUGCUGCAGGAUUUUGCAAUACUGUGUGCUACACCAGCAGCUGAUAUCGCAUAGGCAAAAGCCGUUUCUCUGUAACCUGGAACAAAGAAGACGCAAUUUCAUUACACAAAUUUUACACUUGGGUGAUUGACGAUGUUGCACAUGAUAACACUAGAGUCUCCUGGAAUCUUUCAUUUUUCAACUGGAAAAAAUAUCUCUUUCUUUCAACUCUGUCUGCUUAUUUUUUUUUUUCAUAACGAAGUUAUUGUAAUGGAAUCGAUUUUUAAAAUUCGAAUCAGGGACAAUUUUUACUGAUUUUCAGUGUUAGUUCAACUGCUGAUUCAUUCAGUAAUUAGACAGGCACCGAUAAUCAGUGAUUAUUUAGUGCUAAUCUAAUUAUUGAUUCAAUCAAUGGUUGGAUUAGCACUGAAAAUCAGUAAAAAUUGUCUGUGAUUCGCAAUUAUUUUCACUGAUUCAAAAUAUUGUUAAUAAAUGAGACCAAUAUCAACAAAAUACUGUUGUAAAUGACUAUACAUUAAUUUUAACAAUGGGAUAUUGUUUAUAACAAUUGCAAUUUGUUAUAUGGAGAACUGUUUAAUGGAAAGUUUGUCAUAGUACAUCCCUUUUGGCUUUUAACAACAUGAAUUUCGAGACAAUAAUAUUAUGUAUUAAUGUACGUGAAGCUCAUGUGUUUUUAUCAUCUCUGAGAAAGCGAAAAAAAAAGUAAAUACGGUUCAUGCGUUUCUCGAGAGCCUAUACUGGGUUCCUUCAACUCCGUCUCCUCCACGUCGUCGGCGUACUUGUUGUCGUCCGAGGAGAGAAGUAGAGAGCGGAUUCAAGAUCUACUGAGAGACGUAUAGCUCCCACUGGAGGAUUUAUUACGACUUCUCUAACAUCCUGCUCACCCAUCCAGCGGUUGCAUACCACCCGUCCUACCACUUGGAGUAGUCAACACUGAUGAUGCAAAACUUGAUGCUUUUGGGAGUCAAUCAGGCAUUUUAAUUGGCCAAGUGUCAUCAUGAAGCAUGAUCAAUAGGACUGCUUCAGUUUAAUCCUAUUUGAAGUAUUACUAAGUGUUCCAGGGAAUCAGAGAUCAGGAUAUUGAUUAAAGACUAUGAGAUGGUGUUGAUUCAGAGAAGAAUUUAGUUUGAAAAGAGAAUCAUUUUCUAGCUUUAUUCGAUCAAGCUAAUUAUUGAAUUAAUUUUCUAGGAAAACAUAAAGGGUAAGUGAUUUUAAAUUAAGGUUUUGGAGUAAAAGAAUGCAAUGUUGAUAACCUGGUCUUAGUUACCAGUGAUGGCAGUCUCAAAAUUAAUUAACCCUAACAGUAAGUUGAUGAAACAUUUUUCUGUGUUUUGAAAAGACUAGAAUAAUUUGUUAAAAAAAUGAUGAUAAUAAAAAUAUAUAUUUAUAUAUAUAUUACUGCAGAAAACAGAUGAUUGAUUUACGUAUUUUCUAGAUGUCAUUAUCUUGGCAAAGCGUAAAAAAUCGUGGUGGAAACUUCUGAGAAUCCCUAGUACUGUGAGGCGUCGAAAAUCUUUAGAAUAGUGACUAAAUCUAGCGUAUCAAAUCCUCACGGUUCUCUCGCACCAAAGUGUGUUUCUGUAGGCAUGCCAUGGAAGAAGCCAGCCAAUGGUUAAAUUGACUGUACCUACAUCUAAUGAAAGCCUAAGGUAAAGGUUGACCGCACACGUCGUGAUGCGCUUGAUCCAACUCAACGUUUGCCUGACUCUUUAUCCCACUGGAUAAGGAAUAACAUUUUAUCUAUUAGAAGAUACAUGUUACCCAAAACUUCUUCAGAUCCAUGAUAUUGAGUAACCAAUCAUCCUAAUAGAAAGUUAACUACUGAUCAUAGAAUACCUGCACCCAAUAGUCUUGGGACAUUUUAGGAAUUUAAAAUAUGCUCGAGGAAAUUAUUUAAAUGGGCUAAAUUACUACCGAAGAAUUAAUCUCGAGAGUUGAUUCAUUGGAAUCGUUUGACCAUUUUUCAGAAGAAAUUCGAUGAAUACUUGAUUAGCUUGGGGGACUUUUUUUUAAAUCCAGAGGAAAGUAAGGAAAUAAGACCAUAUCAGUACUUGUUGAUAGUGAUGAACAAUUCCACCUGUGCCAUGCAAAUUGAUGUUGACAUUCAGUUAUCGCCAUCUGGAGACCUUUGAUUGCCGCUGCUGUCACGUCUGGAUUUGCAUAGCAAAGAUCUCUUUGCUCCUUCGUCAACCCUGGGAUUCCAUUGCAGACAAUUAUAUUACCACUUGACCAGUCAUCCACUGAAUUACUCAUCAACCCCAUCGCUCUAAAAUGAAUGAAAAAAAUUCAACAUGUAAAUGAAGUUCAUUGAUCAAAUAGCAUCACCAGCACCAAUAAAUAUCACAUGGUAAUGAAGGAAGAUUGAUCACAGUGGAGAUUGUUGGAGAAAAUGCUAUUAAUAAACAUCACUAAUUAAAAGUAAUCUAAGCAACCUAUCGUCAUAAUUAAAUAACAACACACUCAGCAGUCUUGGAUAAUCUAUUCACAUCGAUCUAGACUCUACAUCAUUUUUCUCUUAUUUCUCGUGGCCAAAUAUUUAUGCACCAUACAAAUUGGCCAUAAAAACAAGACCCUAAAAGUAAGGAACGUGUUGCACCCGCGUGUGAAUGUGCAAAUUCUUCGGGGACCUGUGUGACUUUGGGAGAGAGAGAGGCUUUGGAAUCAGCUGAAAGACAGAAAGGUACCAGGAGGAAGAUAGAGGAUCCUAUUUGGUGGAUCCUGCAAGAAGGUUUCAAGUUAUUGAGCGUUCCCAUUACUUCUACAACACCGGUGCUGGUAUCUUAUGCACUAUUGAUGAUCUAAUGAAAGUGAAUUGAUGAUUCAAAGGCGAUAGACAAAUUGCUACAUAAAUGUGAAUACGCUCUAGAGUGUUUUGUGCUGCUAAAUUAUCAACAACUUGACCAGCAACGAAUCAGAUCAUUGAAGAUCUAUCAUCUCCAAAAAAAGAAACAAAAUGUUGAAUAUUAAUCAGAUACCAUGGGUCUUAAUAAAUAAUUAUUCACUUAAUUAAUUUUUCAACUCAAUCGAUCUACGUAUUUAAAGUGAAGUAAGAAAUGAUUAUUAAUAAAUGAAAGUAUAGAAAAAAUAAAUAUAGAAUAAGGAAAUAAGCAGACAAGUUUUCGUUUCCAUCAGCUACCAUAUGUUCAAUUUACACUUAGAGUCUGUUUUCCAAUCAAAAACAUCCAGAGAUAUUGGGUUCAAAAGGUGCCAACAUUUAACGAACUUGUUCAAAUAUAUCUUUAAUACUAUUUAACUUUAGUUUUACGAUCACUCAA